UAAACAAUCAAAAAGGAUAUAAUUUACUAUUGAGAAAAAGGAUGCACUAAAUAAAGUGAAAUUAAUUGAGAAGAAAAUAAUGGAUUGAAGUGGAUCAAAGAAAUUUUUCAAUAAAGUGUUCCACAAUCUCUUCUGUAGAAAAGGACUUUUGAUGAUUUUUAAGAAAAUCCCUCAAAAUAUUAACACUGAUUUUAAUCUAAACAAUCUGCCGCUGUUCAAAAUUUUUUUUCGUGCUAUUAAAUAAUUGACAAUUUUUCCGUACAAUUUUUUGAUUGAUUGAUUACAUAUUUAUUACGAUGUUAGAAGAAAUCAUUAACAACAAUCUGUUAGAAUCUUUUAGUUGAAAUAUAUUGUUCGUUUUGGGUAAAAUUAACAGCAACAUUCCAUUAAAGAGGAGAAAUUAUACUGACGGUGUUUGCAAAAUUCCAAUCAAUUUUAAAAAAUUUCAACAACAUCAAUAUGUAAUUAUUGUGAAUAUGAAUCAAUUUGCCGCUAUUUUCGAAAUGUAAACACAAACAUGCAGCAGCUUGCCAAAAACCAGAAGGAGCAGCUAGCAAAAGAGUAGAGGAAAAAACACAAACAAAAACAUGUGUUUGGUUUUCGCUGUCUGCUAUUUUGUAGAGAGUUAUUAAAAACAAGAGUAUUUUUUACUAAGCUUGCUCUCUCUCUGGUUUCGUUAACUCUCUUUGGUUUUUUUUAUAGGGGGGCUAAAAAAAAUGCGUUGAGUUUUUUGUUCAUAGAAAACUUACGCAUAUUUUGUUUUUGUUCUUUUCAAUAAAAUUGAGUGUGAGUAAGA